GAUGAGCGCUGGCGGCGUGCCUAAUACAUGCAAGUCGAGCGGUAAGGCUCCUUCGGGAGUACACGAGCGGCGGACGGCUGAGUAACACGUAGGAACGUACCCCAAAGUGAGGGAUAACUGCUCGAAAGAGUAGCUAAUACCGCAUGUGAUCCACGGAUUAAAGCUUUAUGUGCUUUGGGAACGGCCUGCGUUCGAUUAGCUUGUUGGCGGGGUAAAAGCCCACCAAGGCGACGAUCGAUAGCUGGUCUGAGAGGAUGAUCAGCCAGACUGGGACUGAGACACGGCCCAGACUCCUACGGGAGGCAGCAGUAGGGAAUUUUCCACAAUGGGCGAAGGCCUGAUGGAGCAACGCCGCGUGCAGGAUGAAGGCCUUCGGAUUGUAAACUGCUUUUAUUGGUGACGAUUAUGACGGUAACCAAUGAAUAAGGGUCUGCUAACUACGUGCCAGCCGCCGCCGUAA
rnacentral:rRNA from 1 species